UUUUGGUUAUUAUUUGUUUUAACAAAAGUUUAUUCUUAAAUGUAUAACAGGCUCCAAGACAAAACUUCAUCCUAGCUAUAGGUGGCAAGAGACAUGACAGGAAUCCAGAUGUUAAAACAGGAAUGGAAUUAAGGAUCAUCAUUGUUCCAGGUACAAGGAAGAACUCAUUUUUUGCUAGAUUCCUUAAUUUCACCUGUGGCCAGGGUGGCCUUCCCCAAAUCCUUCACUUUUAGCUCCUUUAGUUUCUUCUGCUCCCAUUUUUGCUUCUGCCUAAAUGCCUUCUCUCAUCCAUCUCCUUGGCCUUUUUCUUGGGCUGCUGUAAGGGCUUCUUCUUGUCACCUUUGCUGCCAGACAUGGCACCUGCUACCUCUUC